rnacentral:rRNA from 1 species
UGAACGCUGGCGGCAUGCCUAACACAUGCAAGUCGAACGGUAACGCGGAGAGCUUGCUCUCUGGCGACGAGUGGCGGACGGGUGAGUAAUGCAUAGGAAUCUGCCUGGUAGUGGGGGACAACAUGUGGAAACGCAUGCUAAUACCGCAUACGCCCUACGGGGGAAAGCGGGGGUCUUCGGACCUCGCGCUAUCAGAUGAGCCUAUGUCAGAUUAGCUAGUUGGUAGGGUAAAGGCCUACCAAGGCGACGAUCUGUAGCUGGUUUGAGAGAAUGAUCAGCCACACUGGGACUGAGACACGGCCCAGACUCCUACGGGAGGCAGCAGUGGGGAAUAUUGCACAAUGGGCGCAAGCCUGAUGCAGCAAUGCCGCGUGUGUGAAGAAGGCCUGCGGGUUGUAAAGCACUUUCAGUAGGGAGGAAAAGUUAACGGUUAAUACCCGUUAACCCUGACGUUACCUACAGAAGAAGCACCGGCUAACUCC